AUCCAGCAAAGAGGAUUGUGAUUAAUCCCUUGGGGCUGGCACACUGCCAUGCCACUAAGAAUGCUCUGGGGUUCUGUAGGUAGGGAAGAGGGGCAAAUGGCGGGUAGACAAAUGUGUUGCCACACCCAGUUAACUACAGCAUGUUGUUUGGGCCAAUAAAGCCACAUUCCAAGAGGGCAGUAUUUGUAAACAUCAGUGACAGUGUACCCAUAUGCCAUCAUCUCUGCCUUUCUCUGGAAGAGGUGCCAGUGUCAAAGACCAGCUGUUUGAGAAAUAACAAAUUAGCAUUUGUUUAAUUCCUGUGAUUAAUGACCCUUAGUUUACUUCAUCUUUGUGUAAGAGCAACAGUGUACUGAAUUGUGUCUCAUCUUGUAUUUAAUACGUAGAUCAGUACUUCUUCUCUUAUGUAUCCUGAACUUGAAAAGGUUGGGAAAGAGUAGGGACCCUUCUGGGAUGGAAGAAUUUGUGCCAUGUCCUUUAGUUUUCUGGAAUUGUAAUUACUUGGAAGUGAUGAACUAGGUAAAGAGUGCUUCUUAAAAUCACACAUUGCAAGAUCUCUGAAGCCAGCUAGAACAGCAGGCCUUGGGCUACAUGCCCAGUAUUGAAUAAUAAAACGAGAGACCUUAGAAAUAUAAGUUCCUCUGCCCUGUGUUUUGGGGGUUUUCACCCCUUCAGUUUUUGGGUCUGGGGAAGGGCAACAGAGACUUCUUGCUCACAGCCAAGGCUCUUAAGUUUAUGGGGAGGAAGUAGAGAUGGCAGAAGAACCAGCAGUGAGUACCAAGGAGUUAUUGGGAAAAAAAAUUAGGAGCUGAGUUAGUUGAUGGCAUAGAGUUUAUUUUUAUUUUUUUAAUAAAGUUUCUUUUAUUUAUUUAUAUAUAUAUAUUUGGCUGUGUUGGGUCUUCGUUGCUGCGCAUGGGCUUUCUAUAGGUGCGGCGAGCUGGGGCUACUCUUUGUUGUGGUGCGGGGGCUUCUCAUUGUAGUGGCUUCUCUUGUCAUGGAGCACGGGCUCUGGGCACAUGGGCUUCAGUGGUUGUGGCUCACGGGCUCUAGAGCGCAGGCUCAGUAGUUGUGGCGCACUGGCUUACUUGCUCUGCAGCAUGUGGGAUCUACCUGGACCAGGGAUUGAGCCCGUGUCUCCUGCAUUGGCAGGUGGAUUCUUAACCACUGUGCCAACAGGGAAGUCCCAAUGGCAUAGAGUUUAAAUUCAGCUUUUGCUAAUAAGGUGGAUUUUGACAACUCCUUGGAAGCUGAGUUUAGUUCUUUCCCUUGAGCCUUUCCUCUCCUCCCAGUGGACAGCAUCUUAAAUUCCAGAGAAGAUGAUAAAGCUCCCCUGAGGCAGUUAUGGAAUCUCCAAGUUCCUAUUCCAGUGACUCAGUUUUCAGUAGUUCACUCUUCCUCCAUCUCACUCUCCCUUCACGUGGUAAUUAGAAGGGAUAGGGCACAGUCUCUCUAGCUUGCAUUCCAGGAAGGGUCCCGAAAGGAGCUGAGCUCAGGGUGAGCAGCUCUGAAUGGGUAUAAAAUAUUUCUCAUGUAGCUGCCCAUUGGGUGGGGCCUUAAGCCCUUUUGGAUGUGGCUGAACAUGCCACUGAUACUGUGUGACCCUGUGCUGUGGCACAGAGCUUCCAAGUUCACCAGGUUUAGGAAUCCUUUCCCUGGAAAGCCCAGAGGAUAAUAAUCGGUAACAGACUUCAUCACUGUGACUGGGAAUGAAUCGCACCAGAAACUCAAUAGCAGCUAAUUCACACAGGUCCCUUGACCACCCUGAACGCUACCAACAAUCUUGGUGAUUGCAUCCACAGUAGGUUCUGACCACUAAUGAACUUGACUCAAUCUCUAAGAAGCAGUCUCAGCUGCAGGGAGCUCCAGUCCACCUGCGCCUACCUCACCACCGUUUGCUCUCACGGAGGAACAAGUUGGUCAGGAAGCUGCACCACGGCCUGGCUCUUAAAGAGAGACUCUGAGAACCAGAGGUGGAGAUUCACUGACUUAGAAUUACUCUAAGCAGCUACAGCGUAAUGUCUUCGGAGAAGGUAUGUGCUGACUUGAUCAGAGGCGCAAAGGAAAAGACUCUCAAGGGGAAAGGACGGAUGCCCACCAAGACUGUGAGAAUAACUACAAGGAAAAUUCCUGUGGUGAAGGCUCUAGGACUUGGGAUCAUUUUUCAGGGUUUUUGUUUAGUUUUUGGCUGUGCCGCAUAGCAUAUGGGAUCUUAGUUCCCCAACCAGGGAUUGAACCUGUGCCCCCUGCAGUGGGAGCGCAGUCUCAACCACUGGACCACCAGGGAAGUCCCCUUCUCUUCUUUUAAAAAAUAAUUUUUUUGAGGCAUAAUUUACAUACCACAAAAAUCACUCAUUUUAAGUGCACAAUUCUCAGUUAUAAAAAUGAUUCUAGAGAGACAGGUGGGGAACCGUGGAGAGUAGAAGAGGUGGAGAGUCUAGGUAGGUGGACUGAAAAUAGAGAUCAUGGAAUUCCCUGGUGGCCUAGUGGUUAGGACUCCGUGAUCUCACUGCCAAGGGCCUGGGUUCCAUCCCCGAUCAGGGAACUAAUAUCCCGAAAGCCACACGGCACAGCCGAAAAAAAAAACAAGAAGAGAAAAUAGAGAUCAAAGGAGAAGAUGGAGAGAAGAAAUGGUGCAGAUCUGAGAAGACAGAAUAGGGUAUCGAGGAGGGACUGAUAGGUGAUUCUCUCACCUGCACAUCGAGCUCCUGGCUUCGAGGGUCUUGCAGGAAGAACCGGAAGGCCGCCUCCCACACCGGGCAGUUGGUGUUAUAGACAGCCUGGAGAUGUGCAGGAUGUAAUCAAGUGAAGGAAGGACAGCUGUCAUCAGAAUCCUUCCCCUCGUGCUUCCCUGGUGGCACAGUGGUUAAGAAUCCACCUGCCAAUGCAGGGCACACGGGUUUGAGCCCUGUUGCGGGAAGAUCCCACAUGCUGCAGAGCAACUAAGCCCAUGCACUGCAACUACUGAGCUUGCGCUCUAGAGCCCGCGAGCCACAACUACUGAGCCUGUGCACCUAGAGCCUGUGCUCCGCAACAAGAGAAGCCACGACAAUGAGAAGCCCGCACACUGCAAUGAAGAGUAGCCCCUGCUCGCUGCAACUAGACAAAGCUUGCACACAGCAACAAAGACCCAAUGCAGCCAAAAAUAAAUAAAUAAAAUAAAUAAAGAUUAUAAGCGAAUAUUAUGAACAACUUUAUACAAAUAGUUA